rnacentral:rRNA from 1 species
GACAGAGGUGCCGAGCGUUAGGCGGAAUCACUGGGCUUAAAGCGUGUGUAGGCGGAUCUGUAAGUACCUUGUGAAAUCCCACGGCUCAACCGUGGAACUGCUUGGUAUACUGCGGGUCUUGAGCCACCUAGGGGCAAGUGGAACAAACGGUGGAGCGGUGAAAUGCGUAGAUAUCGUUUGGAACGCCAAUGGUGAAAACAACUUGCUGGGGGUGUGCUGACGCUGAGACACGAAAGCCAGGGGAGCAAGCGGG